GCCGGGCGCGGUGGCGCGUGCCUGUAGUCCCAGCUACUCGGGAGGCUGAGGCUGGAGGAUCCCUUGAGUUCAGGAGUUCUGGGCUGUAGUGCGCUAUGCCGAUCGGGUGUCCGCACUGAGUUCGGCAUCAAUAUGGUGACCUCCCGGGAGCGGGGGACCACCAGGUUGCCUAAGGAGGGGUGAACCGGCCCAGGUCGGAAACGGAGCAGGUCAAAACUCCCGUGCUGAUCAGUAGUGGGAUUGCGCCUGUGAAUAGCCACUGCACUCCAGCCUGGGCAACAUAGUGAGACCCUGCCUCU
rnacentral:SRP_RNA from 1 species